AUCCGGGCGAGGGCCACGAGGAACACCGCGCCGGCUCGUACCCAUAUCCGCAGCAGGUCUCCAAGGUGAAUAGCCUCUAGUCGAUAGAAUAAUGUAGGUAAGGGAAGUCGGCAAACCCGAUCUGUAACUUGGGGAUAAGGAUUGGCUCUGAGGAUCGUGGCGCGCCGGGCUUGGUCGGGAAGUGGAGCGGUGCCAACGUGCCGGGCCUGGGCGAGGUGAAGGGCGCUCGUCGUCUGGACCCUAGCU
rnacentral:rRNA from 1 species